AAACAAGAAGCAAAUUAGCAAUCAGUUUCGACCUGAUAAAUAGGUGUAAAUAAUCACCCUUGUUUU
rnacentral:tRNA from 1 species